rnacentral:rRNA from 1 species
GGGUGGUAAUGCCGGAUGCUCCAUCACACCGCAUGGUGUGUUGGGAAAGCCUUUGCGGCAUGGGAUGGGGUCGCGUCCUAUCAGCUUGAUGGCGGGGUAACGGCCCACCAUGGCUUCGACGGGUAGCCGGCCUGAGAGGGCGACCGGCCACAUUGGGACUGAGAUACGGCCCAGACUCCUACGGGAGGCAGCAGUGGGGAAUAUUGCACAAUGGGCGCAAGCCUGAUGCAGCGACGCCGCGUGAGGGAUGGAGGCCUUCGGGUUGUAAACCUCUUUUGUUAGGGAGCAAGGCACUUUGUGUUGAGUGUACCUUUCGAAUAAGCACCGGCUAACUACGUGCCAGCAGCCGCGGUAAUACGUAGGGUGCAAGCGUUAUCCGGAAUUAUUGGGCGUAAAGGGCUCGUAGGCGGUUCGUCGCGUCCGGUGUGAAAGUCCAUCGCUUAACGGUGGAUCCGCGCCGGGUACGGGCGGGCUUGAGUGCGGUAGGGGAGACUGGAAUUCCCGGUGUAACGGUGGAAUGUGUAGAUAUCG